rnacentral:lncRNA from 10 species
CUCCCACGCGCCCUCCAGGGACCCGGCAGCCAGACAGACGGACAGGCGGACCGCUAGGGAGCUCAAGUACCCGGACACACGCACGAGCGCAGAACAAAGGGCCGGACAUGCUCCAGCCCGCUCCGCCUGCGCCUCGGCCUUGCGCGCGGGGGCCCGGGUUACCUGCGCAAAGACUAUAAGGUAUGCCAUCAAAGUAGGGAAAGUGAUGGUAUUUGAAUGGUGAGACUGUAGGAUAACAUUUCUUCUUUCUAGUUUUAAAAAUAUUUUCCAAGAUCCCUUCAGUGAACAUGGGAUGCUUCCAUAAUGAAGAGAGAGACACACCGUGAUGACCUCCACAUACCAUAUUUGAUGACAGUCUUCCUUGAGCCAGCUGUGAUGUAAAGAAGUUUGUGCUGCAUGAGAGAGAUAGCACCUGAAGAAAAUGAGGCCCUGGAGGAUGAGAGACUCUAAAGGAAAAGGGAAGGGCCUGCUGUCUUCCAGCCACGCCAGCCCCCAACUGAGAAGCUGGGUGAAGCCAUCUUGCAUCUUUAGCCCCAGUCAAGUUACCUCAGCAAAGACUAGCUGACCCUGCCAAGCCCUGCCCAAGUUACAGAAUCAUGAGCAAAUAAAUGGCUGUUUCUGUUUUAAGCUUUUAAAUUUUGGGGGUGGUUUAUGUGUCAAUAAUA